GACGAACGCUGGCGGCGUGCUUAACACAUGCAAGUCGAACGGAAAGGCCCUGCUUUUGUGGGGUGCUCGAGCGGCGAACGGGUGAGUAACACGUGAGUAACCUGCCCUUGACUUUGGGAUAACUUCAGGAAACUGGGGCUAAUACCGGAUAGGAGCUCCUGCUGCAUGGUGGGGGUUGGAAAGUUUCGGCGGUUGGGGAUGGACUCGCGGCUUAUCAGCUUGUUGGUGGGGUAGUGGCUUACCAAGGCUUUGACGGGUAGCCGGCCUGAGAGGGUGACCGGCCACAUUGGGACUGAGAUACGGCCCAGACUCCUACGGGAGGCAGCAGUGGGGAAUAUUGCACAAUGGGCGGAAGCCUGAUGCAGCAACGCCGCGUGCGGGAUGACGGCCUUCGGGUUGUAAACCGCUUUCGCCUGUGACGAAGCGUGAGCGACGGUAAUGGGUAAAGAAGCACCGGCUAACUACGU
rnacentral:rRNA from 1 species